UUCAAGGCCUUCCCUGACAGAGCCCGCCCCUCGCAGGCCUGGAGGUUUCUCUGCAAAGGAAACAAACAUUCAAACCUCCGAAUGGCGUGGGUCUUCUCUAGGGUGUGUGCCUGUCAACAAGUCACCAGUUCUGGAAGAGCUAAGGGGAAUGUGUGAGUUGCAGGGAGCCCACGGAGGGCUUUUCCUGGAGAAGGCUGUUUACCAGGAGGCGCGUGCUUGCUUCCAGGAAGAGAAAACCCUGUUACACAGAGGAUGAAUUGAUUUAUGCAGACAGUUUAAAGGGUGUUCGCAGCUCUGAGGAAUGCAAGCGGCAGCAUGAUUUGAAGAGAUAACUACUAACCUGAGCUCAGAGUUUAUCAUUCCGGUUCAUUGAACAAAAGAGUCAUGGGACCAAAGAGAUGGCUCAGCAGUCUCUGCUGGCAAAUCUGCUGUCUAGACAUCCAAGUUUCUCUUGAUGAACGUUGUUUGCUCCGACUUCUUCUCCAGCAUAAACAAGAUUCGAUCACAGCCAGGCCAUUUCUUUGGUUUUUUUCAACCUGUUAAACAUGUACACAGUGAUUUCCACCACUCUCACCAGAAAUGCUCUGAAGAAGGACAAUUCGGUUCUAAAUAAAAGCACUUUUUGAUCAUCUCCAUGGUAAUCCUAUUGGCUGAAUCACUUCUUUUGUUGCCAGAACAGUUAAUAUCCUCAGGAUGCAAUAAAAACCUUUACAUUACUAUUUUUGUGUGCGUGUGUGUACACAUAUACAUUCAGGUGCAUGUGUGUGUCCUGGUGCACAAACAUGUGUGGCAGUGCAUGUGGAGCAAUGUCAGCUGAUAUCCCUCAGAUGCAGUCCUUAUUUCUUUGAGACAAGAUUCCUCAUUGGCUUAGGAUUUGCCGAGUAGGUUAGGCUGGCUGGCCCACUUACCCCUGCCUCCUCAGUACUGAGAUUGCAAGCAUAUUCCUGCCCUGUGUAUAGAUUCGAGAUUGACCUUGGAUCUACCGAGCAAGCAGUCUGUAGAAUGGGAUUCGUCCUCAGCUGCAAGUCCUUCAGGGACUUGGAUGGUAAAGGGAAGGAAGAAAAGGCAAACACACAGAGACACAUGGAUGUAGAGAGACUCUCUUAUGUACCGUGUGGAAGCAUCACCUGUCAAUAAACACCUCAUAAUCCAAUACCUGAGGCAGGAAAUAAAAGGUCCAGAGAGAGAGGAAUUCUGGGAAAGAGUGACAGCAGAGGAUUUCACCCUGGGCUCUUGAGACAGAUGAACUGAGGAGAGGUAACUGUGGAAGACAGAGACUAGAACAAGCGGAUGGUAUAAGUUAUGAGCUAGUUGGAAAAGAAACCAAAGCUUGGGCCUAGGUAUUUAUUCAUUCAAGGUUCCUCACUGACUUCAAAUUUACCAAAUAGGUUAGGCUGGGUAGAAGAUUUCGUGGCUACACUUGGAUGUGCAGAAAAGCUAGGGUUGGGUCUGGGAUCUUGGAUGGAGAAACUGUAGCAUCCUGGAAGGUCAGCGUGCUUAUUAUAUAGAGUUCAACAGACAGACAGGGUUAAUGUGUUUAGUUGAACGAGGAGAUAUGGUUUCUUUGGUGUAGGGGAGGGUUUGUCAUUCCUCCAUGUGUCUGACGUUGCUAUGCCCAUGUCAGCAACAUCCAGAGCCUUACACACUCAGGGCUUUCUUUCCUCCUCGCACGCCUCCCUUAUUUCAUGUCUAAUGGUCUUCCUGCCAAGGCAUGGUGUAGCCGCAUCAUCUUCCCAUCUGGGGUGACCCGGUGUUGCAAACCCAUUAUUGUACACAGUUCUGCUCUUUCGGCUGUCACCGUCAACUGCUGGCUAUAGGCCCCAACAAGUUACUUCCCCUUUGGCAUCUGUUUACUCCUCAGCAAAAUGGAGCCGACAGAGCUAAGCAGUCCAUUGCAAGCCCGGAACAAAGGAUUCAACUAUUUCACUCGAGUUGCUUUAUUUUAUGACCUCUUUCCCUGGGUGUUGAUCAGUAUUGCUUCCAUUGUAGAGAUGGUUAGACAGACGGAGGGAGCGCUGAAAUAAAUCCCUCAGGUCACAAUCAACGAUAGACCAAUCCAUGAUUCAACCGAGUGGGCUUUUCCCAGAGCCUGCUCACUUUAAGAUCAUUCUCUCUCUCUCUCUCUCUCUCUCUCUCUCUCUCUCUCUCUCUCUCUCUCUCUCUCUGGCUUUUAUCAGCUCAAUUUAAACUUGUGAACAUUGUGACAUUUCAGUUCUAAAUACUUCGGAAUUAUCACACUUAACAGUAAUUUAAGAUCACCUAACAUACAGUGUGUGUGUGU
rnacentral:sRNA from 1 species